UGGUGACACCCGACCCCUUGCUGCCUG
rnacentral:piRNA from 1 species